rnacentral:rRNA from 1 species
GACGAACGCUGGCGGCGUGCUUAACACAUGCAAGUCGAACGGAAAGGCCUGCUUUCCCUUGUGGAUUGCGGGUACUCGAGUGACGAACGGGUGAGUAACACGUGAGUGAUCUGCCCCCAACUUGGGUAUAAGCCUGGGAAACUGGGUCUAAUUCCCGAUAGGACUGCAGGGUGGUGCCUGUGGUGGAAAACGAUUUUCUAGUGGUUGGGGAUGAGCUCGCGGCCUAUCAGCUUGUUGGUGGGGUAAUGGCCUACCAAGGCGGCGACGGGUAGCCGGCCUGAGAGGGUGGACGGCCACAUUGGGACUGAGAUACGGCCCAGACUCCUACGGGAGGCAGCAGUGGGGAAUAUUGCACAAUGGGCGGAAGCCUGAUGCAGCGACGCCGCGUGGGGGAUGACGGCCUUCGGGUUGUAAACUCCUUUCGACCGCGAGGAAGCCACCUGGUUGGAAGGGUGGUGACGGUAGUGGUAGAAGAAGCACCGGCUAACUACGUG